rnacentral:lncRNA from 1 species
GGAAAAAUUUUGUAAAAUAUUGAAUGACUGGAGAAUUUCAGGAAAAGUAUCAAAAGUCAUAGGUACUUGGGGACAGGAAAAUGUUUUUUUUUUAUCCCUCCUCCUUUAUUUCAAAAUUCCCAAUUUUUGGUUGUCUAUUAAUUUCAAUAUUUAGUAAUAAAUUGAUAUGAACAUUCAAUUAAUGAGCCUGUAAUCCAGUGGUUGUCGUUUGUUUAUGUAUUACAUAUUUGUUUUUCGUUCAUUUUUUUGUAGAUAUUAGGCCGGUAGUUUUCUCGUUUGAAUAUGUUUUACAUUGUCAUUUUGGGACCUUUUAUAGCCCACAAUGCGGUAUGGGCUUUGCUAGUUGUUGAAGGCCGUACCUAUAGUUGUAAAUUUCUGUGUCAUUUUGGUCUUUUGUGAACAGUUGUCUCAACAUGGCAUUCAUACCACAUCUUCUUUUUUAUAUGUAGACCUUACAAUC